AAUGGCAUAGAUGUUAAAUGGGCAAAUAAAAGGAAAGUUUUACAUCUUCAAGUCUGAGGGGGGUUUUAACCUUCCUGAGUCUGAGGGUGGUUUUAACCUUCCUGAGUCUGAGGGGGGGUUUAACCUUCCUGAGUCUGAGGGGGGUUUUAACCUUCCUGGGUCUGAGGGGGUUUUAACCUUCCUGAGUCUGAGGGUGGUUUUAACCUUCCUGAGUCUGAGGGUGGUUUUAACCUUCCUGAGUCUGAGGGUGGUUUUAACCUUCCUGAGUCUGAGGGUGGUUUUAACCUUCCUGAGUCUGAGGGUGGUUUUAACCUUCCUGAGUCUGAGGGUGGUUUUAACCUUCCUGAGUCUGAGGGUGGUUUUAACCUUCCUGAGUCUGAGGGUGGUUUUAACCUUCCUGAGUCUGAGGGUGGUUUUAACCUUCCUGAGUCUGAGGGGGGUUUUAACCUUCCUGAGUCUGAGGGGGGUUUUAACCUUUCUUGAGUCUGAGGGUGGUUUUAACCGUCUGAGGGGGGAUUUAACCUUCCUGAGUCUGAGGGUGGUUUUAACCUUCCUGAGUCUGAGGGGAGUUUUAACCUUCCU